UUACAUCAUUUUUCUAAUUUGGAAUCGAGGAAGUCGAGCGUGGGCUUUGGGUUUCUUGGUUGAGUUCAGAUUUGUGAGUUCUGAUUUUGAAGAGAGGGAGGAGGAGAGAGCUGUCUACCUCAUUCCCUACAGGAGGCUCGAACAUAGGAGAAUCGCAGUGGAGGGGUCCUGUAGACUGCUUCGACGGAGGGGGACGAAGCUCACUGAACUCUCAGAGAACUCAUCAUCUAUCCUCUCCUUUAUAGCCGUCAAGCCCAAAAGCUCGGUCUUUAUGUAAACACCUCAAAAACCCAAC